rnacentral:rRNA from 1 species
GACAGAGGGUGCAAACGUUGCUCGGAAUUACUGGGCGUAAAGCGCGUGUAGGCGGACCGGAAAGUCGGGCGUGAAAGCCCUAGGCUCAACCUAGGAACUGCACUCGAAACUUCCGGCCUUGAGUGGUGGAGAGGGAAGUGGAAUUCCUGGUGUAGAGGUGAAAUUCGUAGAUAUCUGGAGGAACAUCAGUGGCGAAGGCGGCCCCCUGGAUCAAUACUGACGCUGAGGUGCGAAAGCGUGGGGAGCAAACAGGAUUAGAUACCCGUGUAGU